GCCGCCAUUGGCAGCACUAUAAUGUGGGACAGAUUGACAAACAUUAGAUAUUGUUUCCUUGGGAAUGGAAUCACAGUCACAAUCGUGUCUCUCAAGGCAUCAAGCGUCUCUGGCUUUGUGGCGAACACAGUGUUCUUCAUAUUCCCCACAGGUAGAAAUCUAACGGUGUUAAAACAGUGGCGCAGUAUCGAAUUCUGACCUCUGUCAUCUCGCACCUCAAUCAUGUCCUCACAUUUACAAAAACACCUAAAAAUCCACUUACGUUGCUCGAAAGAAAACUUGUUUACUUCUGCCAUUUUGUCUAGUACACUAAUGCCCUUCGCAGGAAGCUAAAAACAGCAGAAUAACUACAUGCACUCGCACACACCCA